rnacentral:miRNA from 1 species
GUGUGUGUGUAUUUAGCAGUCUGUGUGUGUAUUUAGCAGACUGUGUAAUCAGCAGUCUGUGUGUGUAUUCAGCAGUCUGCUAAGUACACAGACAGACUGCUAAGUACACACA